GCCAGCAGCCAUAUCACCCUGCAGCCCAAGACUGGUCACCCACUGAAGCUAAGCAGGGUUGAGCUGGUCAGUACCUGGAUGGGAGACCUCCUGGGAAAACUAGGUUGCUGCUGGAA
rnacentral:rRNA from 1 species